rnacentral:rRNA from 1 species
AUUGAACGCUGGCGGCAUGCUUUACACAUGCAAGUCGAACGGCAGCGCGGGCUUCGGCCUGGCGGCGAGUGGCGAACGGGUGAGUAAUGCAUCGGAACGUGCCCAGUAGUGGGGGAUAGCCCGGCGAAAGCCGGAUUAAUACCGCAUACGACCUGAGGGUGAAAGCGGGGGACCGAAAGGCCUCGCGCUAUUGGAGCGGCCGAUGUCGGAUCAGCUAGUUGGUGGGGUAAAGGCUUACCAAGGCGACGAUCCGUAGCUGGUCUGAGAGGACGACCAGCCACACUGGGACUGAGACACGGCCCAGACUCCUACGGGAGGCAGCAGUGGGGAAUUUUGGACAAUGGGGGCAACCCUGAUCCAGCCAUGCCGCGUGCGGGAAGAAGGCCUUCGGGUUGUAAACCGCUUUUGUUCGGGAAGAAAUCCUCUGGGCUAAUACCCCGGGGGGAUGACGGUACCGGAAGAAUAAGCACCGGCUAACUACGUG